rnacentral:rRNA from 1 species
AGCAUGUGGUUUAAUUUCGAUGCAACGCGAAGAACCUUACCUGGGCUUGAACUGCAGGCGUAGUCGCUUGAAAGGGCGGCGAACUCCUUCGGGAAGACCUGUAGAGGUGCUGCAUGGCUGUCGUCAGCUCGGUGUCGUGAGAUGUUGGGUUAAGUCCCGCAACGAGCGCAACCCUUGCCAUUAGUUGUCAGCGAGUCAUGUCGGAUACUCUAAUGGGACUGCCGGUGACGAGCCGGAGGAAGGUGGGGAUGACGUCAAGUCAGCAUGGCCUUUAUGUCCAGGGCCGCACACGUGCUACAAUGGACGGUACAGAGGGACGCAAGACCGCAAGGUGGAGCAAAUCCUCAAAACCGUUCUCAGUUCGGAUUGCAGGCUGCAAUUCGCCUGCAUGAAGCUGGAAUUGCUAGUAAUCGCAGAUCAGCUACGCUGCGGUGAAUACGUUCUCGGGCCUU